AGUCGAUGACGAUAAAUCUCUAGGCUUGUUUCUCAAACAUUCGCAGUGGCCGCCUAAAGCUUUCGCCCCGCCGGGCUUGAGAGCUAAUGCAGCUUCCAAACCUUCCUUGGAUAUCUGAGACU
rfam:Physcomitrella patens subsp. patens PHYPAscaffold_94 genomic scaffold, whole genome shotgun sequence.